AGUGAACGCUGGCGGUAGGCCUAACACAUGCAAGUCGAACGGCAGCACAGUAAGAGCUUGCUCUUACGGGUGGCGAGUGGCGGACGGGUGAGGAAUACAUCGGAAUCUACUUUUUCGUGGGGGAUAACGUAGGGAAACUUACGCUAAUACCGCAUACGACCUACGGGUGAAAGCAGGGGAUCUUCGGACCUUGCGCGAUUGAAUGAGCCGAUGUCGGAUUAGCUAGUUGGCGGGGUAAAGGCCCACCAAGGCGACGAUCCGUAGCUGGUCUGAGAGGAUGAUCAGCCACACUGGAACUGAGACACGGUCCAGACUCCUACGGGAGGCAGCAGUGGGGAAUAUUGGACAAUGGGCGCAAGCCUGAUCCAGCCAUACAGCGUGGGUGAAGAAGGCCUUCGGGUUGUAAAGCCCUUUUGUUGGGAAAGAAAAGCAGCAGGUUAAUACCCCGCUGUUCUGACGGUACCCAAAGAAUAAGCACCGGCUAACUUCGU
rnacentral:rRNA from 1 species